rnacentral:rRNA from 1 species
UAUCUCUGUAGAGUCUGCAUAUCAAUAAGCGGAGGAAAAGAAACUAACAAGGAUUCCCUUAGUAACGGCGAGUGAAGCGGGAAGAGCUCAAAUUCGAAAUCUUCAAGGUUUUACCUUGACGAAUUGUAGUUUAAAGAAGUGUUUUCUGUUGAAGUUUCGGUAAAAGUUCUUUGGAAUAGGACAUCAUAGAGGGUGAGAAUCCCGUAUUUGACCGUUAGUUUUCAGCUGUGUGAUACACUUUCAAAGAGUCGGAUUGUUUGGGAAUGCAGUCCAAAAUGGGUGGUAAAUUUCAUCUAAAGCUAAAUAUUGGCGAGAGACCGAUAGCGAGCAAGUACCGUGAGGGAAAGAUGAAAAGAACUUUGAAAAGAGAGUUAAACAGUACGUGAAAUUGUCAAAAGGGAAGCGUUUGACACCAGUGUUGUUUUCUCGAAAAUCAAUUAAAAGUGGCUUGAUUUUGUGUUGUAUUGACCUUAAAAGCUUUCUUCACUUUUUUCAUGUCUUUUUUAAUGCACUUUUCGUUUAACAAGUCAACAUCAGUUUCUUUUGUUGUAAAAAGGUCAUUGGAAGGUGGCUUUCUUUUCGGAGAAAGUGUUUAUAGCCUUUGACUUCUGCAAUCGGAGAGACUGAGGUCUGCAGCGUAGAUCCUUCUGGAUUAGAUUCAUUUGUGCUAAGUUACAACCGUUUAUAGACAACUUGUUGACUAUAUUCGAUCCUGUAGCUUACUCGCUUAUGUAAUUUUACCUACGCUUAGGAUGUUGAUAUGCAUGACUGAUAU